rnacentral:rRNA from 1 species
UACGAAGGGGGCGAGCGUUAUUCGGAUUUAUUGGGCGUAAAGGGCGCGUAGGCGGCUUCGGAAGUCUGGUGUGAAAACGCUACCGCUCAACGGAGCGAGUGCGCUGGAAACUCCGAAACUUGAGUCAGGGAGAGGUGAACGGAAUACCUGGUGUAGCGGUGGAAUGCUUAGAGAUCAGGUAGAACACCUGAGGCGAAGGCGGUUCACUGGCCCUUGACUGACGCUGAUGCGCGAAAGCGUGGGGAUCAAACGGGAUUAGAUACCCCGGUAGUCCACGCUGUAAACGGUGAGUACUAGCUGUGGGAGGUAUCCAUUCCUUCCGUGGCGACGGUAACCCAUUAAGUACUCCGCCUGGGAAGUACGGCCGCAAGGUUGAA